GGUCAGUAGGUUGGUCGUGCCACCGGUACGUACUGGUCUCACUGAUUCCUCCUUCCUGAAGAACCGUAAUGCCAUUAAUUUGGUGUUGCGGGGAAACAGGACUGUUACUUUGAAAAAAUUAGAGUGUUUAAAGCAAGCUAACGCUUGAAUACAUUAGCAUGGAAUAACGAAAUAGGACGAUCGAUCCUAUUUUGUUGGUUUCUAGGAUUGACGUA
rnacentral:rRNA from 1 species